GAUUGGGCCUUUUUUAAUGGGCCUGCAGAAAAACAAUACGUGUAGGACACAGGAGCACGGGCUCCUCAAUGCGUACGGUAGCGCCGCCGCCGCGCGCCCGUUCCUCUCUGGCGGCGCCGCCGCCCUGCUCUCGUUCCCCUCCCUAUCCAUCUCAAUCUUCUCCCGCACCACCACGAUCUUCAACCUCCUGCUGCCGUAUGUCUCCGAUUUGGAUCGGAGUCCGUGUUCCCCCAGGAUAAGUGCUGCAACACGAAUCCAUGGCGUGCCCGACCCAGAUUUCAGAGGGACUUGGCUGCCAUUAGAAGGAGCCCUCGACCGGAAUCUUCAUUAAAUCGCUUCAUAUCGCAACUUUUGAAGAGUCGUCCAGGAUCGUCUCAGCCGAGUUCGCCGGAAGAAAAUCCGCCGCCCAAGCGUACUACAUCUGAGCCGGAAGAACAUCCCCUGCCGAACAUGCUACCCCAGAGAUCACAUCUUCCUUUGCUAGAACACGUGAGCUGAUUCCGACUUUGGCCUCAAGUUGCUCCCGUCAAUGACAAGUGGGAGGAGUGGGAGUGCUGUGUUCAUGAAAUUGAGUAUCUCAGAAGAAUUUGGUUUGGCACUUAUUUUCCUCAACCUGUUAUUCUUCAAAUGUGCUUCCCAUGGAUUUGAUAAAUUUGGUGAGAUAAUGUUAUGUGUCAGGUAUGGCCAUAAGAUACUCAUGAAACUUAUUUUAUUUUGCCUCACACAAGAUGUAUGUUGUUUAGACUCAUGUACUGCCAGUACUGGUAGAUCGAUGAUCUAAGGAUCAUAUGAAUGAUUAAUGGAGGAUAAUUCAUAUUCAGUUCUCCUCUCAAUUUUUGUGGUGCCAAGCUUGAUCUUAUCCAUCUAGCUGACUGAAAGUGCCUUCUAAUCACUAUUGAACGCAUAUGUUAGUUAGUUUGACUGUAUAUACACCACACAAAAAGUAAAAAAUGAAUUCUAGAAAAAAUUAGACACAAAUACUACAGAACCAGUGGACCCUCGAGAAACAAAAGGCACACCUAAAGGAUUUUUUUCUUAACAAAAUGUAUUAAUUUGACUAUUUGAGUAUAAAAAAUGUGCAAUCGCAAUCUUGCUUUUUCAAGGAAAACAGGGGACUGCUACAUACUCGAUAUGGAUCGAGGCUAAUUAUUGAUCUUCCAAGUUAAAAAAUCUGAAAAUAACUUUCAUUUAGUAAUGGAUACAUAGUCAAGAAAGGAUGCCUUUCCCGAAAGAUACAAAACAAAAUCGUGUUCGUGUAUGUCCGGCUGACAGAUGAAUCGAUCUCCUUUCAAGUAUCAACCCAGCAACCUUCGUGUACGUACAUGUGUGCAUCAAGGAUGCACGGGUCCAUUGGCCUGCGUACCACACAUCCCUUCACUAAUUCCAUCAGUAUCAUUCUUAACAAGGUAAGUAUGAUUCCCUAAUCCCUGAUUUUAUUAAUUGAUCUUUGAUGCUUCAUCCCUAAUGUCGUUAUACCUUAUUGAUUCUAUAAAAGAUCUCAAACAGGAACAUACCAUUUUUUAGGUUACGAUUCCUAUAACUUGCCUUGUCAAUUUGAUAAAAUUACAUGUGUAAUGGAGGUUGUAACUUAUUACGGUUUACAUUGUCAGAAUGAUAUCUGUGUCAUCUCUGAACAUAUGUAUAUAUUUGGUGUGCCGGAUUUUCUGAUGUAGAUGCUAUAUAAGAGGAAGCUAUUCGACAAUCCUGCUCAAGUUGGUCGCCAGCACAUGUGAAUCGUUCUCGUCAAGAGCAUGCUUGUGACAUCAUUACUAUAUGUGAUGCAGGGCAAAAGGAUGCUGUCAGAAUGUAAAAGCACAUUUAACCAUUUCCUGUUUUUUUCCUUGCCUGUUUUUGCCGUCGUAUACACUGCAUCUCCCACUGUAACGGACAGCCAAAUUUGUAUUCUUGAAAGUUUUAAUCAUUUCUAUUGCAACUAAGUGUUCAAGUGCAAUCUCUAGCCAAGUUCUCUUUGUUGUUGUGUUGAAUUUUGAGGAAAGGCGGCCAAGCAGCUCGUGGCAUCUGUGUCACGCCUGCUCUGCCGCUGCCUUGACCCGCCGACGACGUCGCCGGUUGAGCCGCAAGGGUGCAAGAUCAUCGUGGGGCCCAUUGCAUGGGCUCCGAGUAUGCUUGAUUGCCAUGUCGGAGGCGAAGGUGCUAGAGCUUGGUGGCGUGUUUGCAUUUCUGGAUGCAUGAAUAAUUGUCAAGGAGGCCGAAGCCAGCGCUAUUACAGUUGGACUGAAGGAAUUGUAUAACGUAUUCUGAGGCUCCUUGGUGGUGGAGAUCGACUACGCAGUGGGGAAAUGAGCUAGGGGCUGAUUCUGUAAGCAGAUCAUUGUCCUACCCAAUUAUUGUUGAUAUUAAAUCUGCGCUGAGUAAUUUUUAGGCAUUAUCACAUCAGAACUGUCAAGAGGGACAAACAAUGGGCUGGCUCAUGAACUAGCCAAUGAUGCUAAAAAAGCUCAUGGAGACCUUGUGGUUGCGUAUGGUGUCCCGGACCAACUCCAUGAUCAGCUCUGGAAGGAAAACAAUGCAGCCUUGACGUCGGCCUAAGUCUUGAUGUAAUCCUCAAAAAAGAUACUGCUUGCAGACAUGUUAUACAUAAACAUGCAUGUUGUAGGUCUGUUAA